rnacentral:lncRNA from 10 species
ACCCUGCUUCUCCCUUUCACUUCUCAGGCUGUCACCAGCCCUGAGACUCUUCCUGGGGAUGCCCUACUGUCUGCAUGGGGUGGGGCCAUUGUGUUCCCUGUUGACAGAUGAGGAAACUGAGUCUCAGAGAAGCAGGCACAGAGGUUGAGGCCUUAAGCCUGAGGUCCCUGCUGCCACCCAGCCUUCCCCAAGAGGAGCAGUGACUUGCUCAGCAUCACCUACAGCUCCAUGAGACCCUGGCUGAAGUCUGCUGACCUCCUCCGGGACUGUGGGAUGGCCAGGACAGCUGACCAGGAGCCACUUUCACGGCACAUCCCCUCCUGCAAAGGAGGGAGCAUGAGGACCCUCAGCAGCCCAGACAUGUACCAUCAGGCGGUGCCCCACCCCAGCCCCACGGGACACUGUCGAUUUGUUGAU